rnacentral:tRNA from 1 species
AGAGAGAUGGCAGAGUGGUCGAUUGCGGUGGUCUUGAAAACCACUGACUGUAAUAGGUCCGGGGGUUCGAAUCCCUCUCUCUCUG